rnacentral:rRNA from 1 species
UACGUAGGUGGCAAGCGUUGUCCGGAUUUACUGGGCGUAAAGAGCGCGCAGGCGGUCUUUUAAGUCGAAUGUGAAAGCCCCCGGCUCAACUGGGGAGGGUCAUUCGAUACUGAUCGACUGGAAGGCAGGAGAGGGUAGUGGAAUUCCCGGUGUAGUGGUGAAAUGCGUAGAUAUCGGGAGGAACACCAGUGGCGAAGGCGACUACCUGGCCUGUUCUUGACGCUGAGGCGCGAAAGCUAGGGGAGCAAACCGG